UCCCGAUACACUUUUGUUCACUGUAUGUUGCAUGUCGCAUGAUUGAAAACUGAGUUUCAAAUGUGUAGUUUUGUGUUGUGAAAGACUUCAAUGCUAUGACAACAAAUACUAAACGUACGGUUUAUGUUGGUGGUUUGGCAGAAGAAGUUGAUGAGAAAGUUCUGCAUGCAGCAUUCAUUCCAUUUGGUGAUAUAGUUGACAUUCAGAUACCUCUUGAUUAUGAAACUGAAAAACAUAGAGGUUUUGCAUUUGUUGAAUUUGAGGCAGCCGAAGAUGCAGCAGCUGCUAUUGACAACAUGAAUGAUUCAGAACUUUUUGGAAGAACCAUUAGAGUAAAUUUGGCAAAACCUCAGAAGAUUAAAGAAGGCUCAUCAAAACCCGUUUGGGCAGAUGAUUCUUGGCUUCAAGAACAUGCUGGUGCAACAUUAAAGAAAGCUGAUAAUGCAACCAAGAGAUCUGCUAAUGGAGAAACAACUGAGGAUGAACCUGAAACAAAGAAAGUUAAGAAAAAUCCACAAGUAUAUUUUGACAUCAAAAUAGGAAAAGUUGAUGUUGGUCGUAUAAUAAUGAUGCUCAGAAGUGACAUAGUUCCCAAAACUGCAGAAAAUUUUAGAUGUCUUUGUACACAUGAAAAAGGUUUUGGUUAUCAAGGAAGUACCUUUCAUCGAAUAAUACCUGAUUUUAUGUGCCAAGGAGGAGAUUUCACUAACCAUAAUGGCACAGGGGGUAGAUCUAUAUAUGGAAGUAAAUUUGAAGAUGAGAAUUUUACUCUCAAGCACACUGGACCUGGAACACUUUCCAUGGCCAAUUCUGGUCCUAAUACUAAUGGAUCACAGUUCUUUCUGUGCACUGCCAGGACUGACUGGCUAGAUGGGAAGCAUGUUGUAUUUGGCCAUGUUAUUAGUGGUCUAGAUGUCCUAAAGAAAAUGGAGGUAAUGCUGUAUUUUCCUAAGUAAUAAUGUAGUUGUAGUCUAGAUGGGAAGCAUGUUGUAUUUGGCCAUGUUAUUAGUGGUCUAGAUGUCCUAAAGAAAAUGGAGAAAUGUGGGACAAAAGCAGGCACACCAACAGAAAAAGUGACAAUUGCAGCAUGUGGGGAACUUGUUUAAUUUUAUCUACAGUUCUAUGUAUGGGGACAUCCACUGCAUGAACAUGUGUCCCUUGAAAUCUGCUGGGCAGUACAAAUUAAUUAUAAUUGUGCAACUGUGAACAUUUUUAAAACUGUCACCACUGUGAAGCAACUGUGUCUGUACAUUGGAAUGUUACCUUCUAAUUUCUAUGAGAUUACUAGAAAAUAGAAGAAACAUUGCUAUUGAGAAGAAGAAGAAGAAAACACACACACACACACACACACACACACACACACACACACACACACACACACACACACACACACUGUGAUAUUCACUGUUGUUGAAGAUGUGCCUUGUAUAUACAGUGAAAUUAUUAGCCUAUCUUUUAUUUUGGAGCAAACUGAUUUUGUAGCAUUUUUUAAAAUUGUUGUUAAUGUCAUUGAUUUUUACAUCAUAGGUUCUUAUCAUAUUUGAAGUGGUGUAGAAGUAUUGAUGUUUACAUAAAAUUCUU